GAAUAGCUCCCCAGUUCUCAGACAGCCAGGUCCAGGGAAGCACCAGGAAACUUGCUGUUGGCCACGCAUGUGGAAAGAGGAAGAGGACAGGCCAUGAGAAAGACUGGCCAUGAGCAGUGACGCUGGAUUCCACGGUUCAGCCAUGACCAACGCUUCAAUAAGGAGAAAGCAACUACCCAGGACACCCUUUCCAAGGGACAGUUCCAGAAGCAUAACCAGAGUGUUGGAGACAAGGGAAGUGGAGAGCAAACAAGACACACCACCCUCGGGAACAGGAAGAACUUGACCUGCCACAGCCCUCCGUGGGACACCAGUCUUCUACAAAGGAGGCUAAGGCAGAGCCGAAACCAACAGUUACUUGAGUCUUCAUUGACGAGAGGGGAGAGUGUUAUAGAAGUCCUCAGGAGACAAGUGGAGAAGUUUCCCAAUGGGCAGAAGUGUCCCACCUUGACAAAAUUCCUCAGGUACCAAGAGCAGCAAAGAAGCCACAGAACCAUCAGUCCUGCAGCAUCCCAGAGCUGUUGGAGUGAGACAGGGAGCAUCACCAUGGUAACCAAUGGGUACCAAUGUCCAGAGACAAGGGCAAUCCUGGCUCCUUCCUCCUCCACACAGGGCAAUCCUGGCUCCUUCCUCCUCCACACAGGGCAAUCCUGACUUUCACUUCCUCCUCCUCUCCACUCCCUGCAUCUAAGAAGCAGGCACGUAAAUGGAGCUGUAAUUAAUAUGCAGUCGGCAAAGGCUAAUUAAGAAUUUAUUUUUGCUCCUUGGCUAAUGACAGUUUGAAGUCUGUUUUCUCGUUUUCCUGGUUGGCGACACAGAGUCCCCAAAGUCCUCUGUCGUGAGUCAGGAGGCCCUGGUUGGAGCUGCAAACAGGAAUUAGUCAUCGCAGAAGCCAACUGCA